rnacentral:sRNA from 1 species
UCAAGUCACGCUUUCCGCCGGCCGAGCCGUCGGAAC